UGGGGAAUAUUGGACAAUGGGCGCAAGCCUGAACCAGCCAUGCCGCGUGUGUGAAGAAGGCCUUUUGGUUGUAAAGCACUUUAAGCGAGGAGGAGGCUACUUGGAUUAAUACUCGAGGAUAGUGGACGUUACUCGCAGAAUAAGCACCGGCUAACUCUGUGCCAGCAGCCGCGGUAAUACAGAGGGUGCGAGCGUUAAUCGGAUUUACUGGGCGUAAAGCGUGCGUAGGCGGCUUCUUAAGUCGGAUGUGAAAUCCCUGAGCUUAACUUAGGAAUUGCAUUCGAUACUGGGAAGCUAGAGUAUGGGAGAGGAUGGUAGAAUUCCAGGUGUAGCGGUGAAAUGCGUAGAGAUCUGGAGGAAUACCGAUGGCGAAGGCAGCCAUCUGGCCUAAUACUGACGCUGAGGUACGAAAGCAUGGGGAGCAAACAGG
rnacentral:rRNA from 1 species